CAGUCGACGAAGUAGCAAUACUUAGUGGCGAACGGGUGAGUAUAAUGUGGGUAUCUGCCUUUUGGUGAGGAAUAACAUGGGGAAACUUAUGCUAAUACCUCAUAAGCCUUUACAGGGAAAGUUUUAACGCCAAAAGAUGAGCUCGCACUUGAUUAGCUAGUUGGUAGGGUAAUAGCCUACCAAGGCUACGAUCAAUAGUUGAUCUGAGAGGAUGAUCAGCCACAUUGGGACUGAGACACGGCCCAAACUCCUACGGGAGGCAGCAGUAGGGAAUCUUGCACAAUGGGGGAAACCCUGAUGCAGCGAUGCCGCGUGAGUGAAGAAGGCCCUUGGGUUGUAAAGCUCUUUCGUCGGGGAAGAAAAUGACUGUACCCGAAUAAGAAGGUCCGGCUAACUUCGUGCCAGCAGCCGCGGUAAUACGAAGGGACCUAGCGUAGUUCGGAAUUACUGGGCUUAAAGAGCACGUAGGUGGUUAGAAAAGUUGGUGGUGAAAUCCCAAGGCUUAACCUUGGAACUGCCAUCAAAACUUUUUAACUAGAGUAUGAUAGAGGUAAGUGGAAUUUCUAGUGUAGAGGUGAAAUUCGUAGAUAUUAGAAAGAACACCAAUUGCGAAGGCAACUUUCUGGAUCAUUACUGACACUGAGGUGCGAAAGCAUGGGUAGCGAAGAGGAUUAGAUACCCUCGUAGUCCAUGCUGUAAACGAUGUGUGCUA
rnacentral:rRNA from 1 species